AGAGUUUGAUCCUGGCUCAGGACGAACGCUGGCGGCGUGCUUAACACAUGCAAGUCRAGCGAGAAAGCACCUUCGGGUGUKAGUAAAGCGGCGAACGGGUGAGUAACACGUGGGUAACCUGCCCUGGAGACCGGGACAACCAUUCGAAAGGAUGGCUAAUACCGGAUAUCCUGCGGAAUCGUAUGGUUCYGUAGAAAAUGGUAGCUUAGGCUUCUGCUYCWGGAUGGACCCGCGGCCCAUUAGCUUGUUGGUAGGGUAAYGGCCUACCAAGGCAACGAUGGGUAGCCGGCCUGAGAGGGYGAUCGGCCACACUGGRACUGAGACACGGYCCAGACUCCUACGGGAGGCAGCAGUGGGGAAUCUUGCGCAAUGGGCGAARGCCUGACGCAGCAACGCCGCGUGGGGGAAGAAGGCCUUMGGGUUGUAAACCUCUGUCGGGAGGGACGAAGCCACCUGCGUUAAUAGCGUAAGGGGUGACGGUACCUUCAAAGGAAGCCCCGGCUAACUACGUGCCAGCAGCCGCGGUAAUACGUAGGGGGCAAGCGUUGUCCGGAUUUAUUGGGCGUAAAGAGCGUGUAGGCGGCYUGWCAAGUCYGAUGUGAAAUCUUGCGGCUUAACCGCAAACCUGCAUUGGAAACUGUCAGGCUAGAGUCUGGAUGAGGAAGRUGGAAUUCCUGGUGUAGCGGUGAAAUGCGCAGAUAUCAGGAGGAACACCGGUGGCGAAGGCGGYCUUCUAGGACAGUACUGACGCUGAGACGCGAAAGCGUGGGGAGCAAACAGGAUUAGAUACCCUGGUAGUCC
rnacentral:rRNA from 1 species